GGGGAUGUAGCUCAAUUGGUAGAGCACCUGCUUUGCAAGCAGGGGGUCGUCGGUUCGAUUCCGUCCAUCUCCACCA
rnacentral:tRNA from 5 species